CCGGCGACCGGCGCACGGGUGAGUAACACGUAUGAAACCUGCCCGUAGCAGGGGGAUAAGCGGAAGAAAUUCCGUCUAAUACCGCGUAACAACCCGAGGAGGCAUCUCCUCGGGUUUAAAGGAAGCGAUUCCGGCUACGGAUGGUCAUGCGUCGCAUUAGCUAGUUGGCGGGGUAACGGCCCACCAAGGCGACGAUGCGUAGGGGUUCUGAGAGGAAGGUCCCCCACACUGGUACUGAGACACGGACCAGACUCCUACGGAAGGCAGCAG
rnacentral:rRNA from 1 species